ensembl:snRNA U6 U6 spliceosomal RNA
UUGCUUCAGCAGCACAUAUACUAAAAUUAGAACGAUACGGAGAUUAGCACGGCCCCUGUGCAAGGAUGGCACGCAAAUUCAUGAACGGUUCCAUAUUUUU